rnacentral:rRNA from 1 species
UACGUAGGGUGCGAGCGUUGUCCGGAAUUAUUGGGCGUAAAGAGCUCGUAGGCGGUCUGUCGCGUCGAUCGUGAAAACUUGGGGCUUAACCCUGAGCUUGCGGUCGAUACGGGCAUGACUGGAGUUCGGCAGGGGAGACUGGAAUUCCUGGUGUAGCGGUGAAAUGCGUAGAUAUCUGGAGGAACACCGGUGGCGAAGGCGGCAUCCUGGACCGGCAUUGACGCUGAGGCGCGAAAGCUAGGGGAGCAAACGGG